rnacentral:misc_RNA from 1 species
GAUGAAGAACGUAGCGAAAUGCGAUAAGUAGUGUGAAUUGCAGAAUUCAGUGAAUCAUCGAAUCUUUGAACGCACAUUGCGCCCUUUGGUAUUCCUUAGGGCAUGCCUGUUCGAGCGUCAUUUAAACCUUCAAGCUCAGCUUGGUGUUGGGUGACUGUCCGCCGCCUCCGGGCGGUCGGACUCGCCUCAAAUUGAUUGGCGGCCGGUACUUUGGCUUCGAGCGCAGCAGAAACGCGAACUCGAGGCCGUCGUCCUGGCUCCCAGAAGCUAUCUUCACAAUUUUGACCUCGGAUCAGGUAGGGAUACCCGCUGAACUUAAGCAUAUCAAAAGCGGAGGA